rnacentral:rRNA from 1 species
AUACGCUGGCGGCGUGCCCUACACAUACCAGUCGAACGAACUCUUCCGAGUGAUGUGGCGGACGGGUGAGUAACGCGUGAGGAUCUGCCUUCAGGAGGGGGACAACAGUUGGAAACGACUGCUAAUACCCCAUAUGCCCAUGGGUGAAAUGGUGAAUUCCGCCUGAAGAUGAACUCGCGUCAGAUUAGCUAGUUAGGUGGGGUAAGAGCCUACCAAGGCGACGAUCUGUAGCUGGUCAUGAGAGGAUGAUCAGCCACACUGGGACUGAGACACGGCCCAGACUCCUACGGGAGGCAGCAAGUGGGGAAUUUUCCGCAAUGGGCGAAAGCCUGACGGAGCAACGCCGCUGAUGCGGGAUAGACGGCCUGUGGGUUGUAAACCGCUUUAUCUCAGGGAAGAAGAUCUGACGGUACCUGAGGAAUCAGCAUCGGCUAACUCCGUGCCAGCAGACGACGGUAAUACGGAGGAUGCAAGCGUUAU